GCACCUGCGGUAAUUCCAGCUCCAAUAGCGUAUAUUAAAGUUGUUGCAGUUAAAAAGCUCGUAGUUGGAUUUCUGCGAGGGUGCCAAUGUCCGCCGACGCGCGUGCGCAGCGGCGCCCUCGCAUCCUUCUGUUACCACCUCUCGGCAUUCACUUGCCGGUGGUCGGCUCAGAGAAUUUACCUUGAGAAGAUUAGAGUGUUUCAGGCAGGCUAGGCCGGAAUACAUUAGCAUGGAAUAAUGGAAUAGGACUACGGUCUCGUUGUUGGUUUGAGGGACUGCAGUAAUGAUUAAUAGGGAUAGUUGGGGGCAUUAGUAUUUAAUUGUCAGAGGUGAAAUUCUCAGAUUUGUUAAAGACUAACUUAUGCGAAAGCAUUUGCCAAGGAUGUUUUCGUUGAUCAAGAACGAAAGU
rnacentral:rRNA from 1 species